rnacentral:rRNA from 1 species
AUUGAACGCUGGCGGCAGGCCUAACACAUGCAAGUCGAACGGUAACAGGAAGAAGCUUGCUUCUUUGCUGACGAGUGGCGGACGGGUGAGUAAUGUCUGGGAAACUGCCUGAUGGAGGGGGAUAACUACUGGAAACGGUAGCUAAUACCGCAUAACGUCGCAAGACCAAAGAGGGGGACCUUCGGGCCUCUUGCCAUCGGAUGUGCCCAGAUGGGAUUAGCUAGUAGGUGGGGUAACGGCUCACCUAGGCGACGAUCCCUAGCUGGUCUGAGAGGAUGACCAGCCACACUGGAACUGAGACACGGUCCAGACUCCUACGGGAGGCAGCAGUGGGGAAUAUUGCACAAUGGGCGCAAGCCUGAUGCAGCCAUGCCGCGUAUAUGAAGAAGGCCUUCGGGUUGUAAAGUACUUUCAGCGGGGAGGAAGGGAGUAAAGUUAAUACCUUUGCUCAUUGACGUUACCCGCAGAAGAAGCACCGGCUAACUCCGUG